CCUAGUCAGAUUACACAUCGGUGAGGAGAAUACACAUUUUCCACAAUUUGAUUACAUUGGAGAAUCACUAUCUGGGUUUGUUACAUUUAUUACUGUAGCAUGUUCAAUCAUUUAGGUAUUUAAUUUUAAUUAUCUUUAAUUGAGUACCAUUUCAAAUUGCAAACAAGAAACAAAUUUGUAUAAAUCUUUGUGUUUGAAAAGUUCAUUUUCAAAAAUAAUCAUUUUUUUUAUAUUGUAGAAAAAAUACAUCAUGACCGGGUGUCUCCACAAAAUUUUGAGAGCAACAAUUGUACUUCCGUUUACUGCGGGACUUGUUAAGGACCGAAGAAAUGGCAAUUAUACAGUACAUGAUGGCAGUAUAUCCGGUGUCGUUUUAUUAACAACUAUAGUUAUAAUUGUUGUUGUCACAAGUAUUGCUCUUCCAAUUAACAAUUCCUAGAUAUCUAAUGAUUGGAUUGUUAUUUCUUGCUAUAUUCAGUUUAAUUUUCUGUCGUGUGUUGGUAUACUUUCGUAGCCAUUGGAAAUAUUCAAGGAAACCAAGAGUAACAGACAAGUUAAAAAUAACAUUUCUGUGGGGGUUUUGCAUUGGAAAUAUUGUAUACCUAGCAACGAAAUUGGCUGUAAAUAUCCAGUGUGACCAAUACCCGUCGCUUGUUGAACCAAUAUUAUACUACAUUUUCAUUUGGGUAUUUGAUAUCAGCCAAACCGCAUUUAUUCAUUAUUUUUCCAGAUUUAGAUUCGCUAGUAUGACUUAUUUUUACUACAUACUUAUGUUUAUGUUUGUUGCCAAUAUAUCUGCAUGGACACACCGAACUAUUGACAUGUAUAAUGAUGAUCAAAUGCUGACUAUACUAGAACAAAAUCAAACAGAUGAUACAUGUAACAAUAAAACAACACUUCAUCAGACAUUUACCAUCCUUAAGCCGUUCUUAGAACCAUUGUUGCUAGAAUAUUGUUUACUGUGUAUGAUUUUCAUCUCCGAGAUGUGGCCUAGACAUAUAACAGAAACAAAAGAUCAGCAAGAUUUACAUAUAUAUGAUUCAGCAUCAUACCAGCAAAGCUGUGAAAAUCAGCCGCUUCUGUCCAGUAGACCGUUAACAGUAUCAACACAACACCACCCCACAAAUAAAAAAUCGAUGUGUUGCGUAGUUUUCGUUAUUCUGUAUACACUUUCGUAUAGUAUAAUACAAUGCGUGUUUCUUUAUGUAGAUAAACUUAAACCAUAUCAACUGGUAAACAGUGUUUACGCUCUUUUUGGAAAUCUCGCAGCAAUUUCUUUGCUAAUCAAAUGUUUUUAUGAAUUGUCCGGUCAGUUACAGCCAAAGAAAACACCAAGAGCCACUAUGAAUAUGAAACAUUUUAUUAUAUUGACCACAUCUCUAGCCACAUGCGGUUUCUUCAUCGUUCAGUUAAUUGGUGCAAAAUACCGCGAUACCUGGGAAGAUUUGAAUUAUGUUAUACGAUUAGCUGCAACAAUACUUCAAACUACAUUCAUAUUACAGAUGAAGCAAUAUCGGAAAUGCGGGAAUGUGAAUUCGUAUUUUACAAUACGUUAUGUGUUUUCGCUUGUGUGUAUCUUAAAUUUUGGGAUUUGGUUUUACUACACAUUUAUAUCUGCACAACACGAGUUUUUCCACAGACAUAGACAUCAAAUGUUUGACAGACAAACAAUAUUAGGAGUUAAACAUUUUUGGUUUCCUUUUGUUAUUUUCUACCAUUUUGAAUGCUCUUUUUGACAUUCUAUCGUUUAUUUAAGGAAUGAUGUAUUAUUUAUAUAUCCUCCGAGGUUUUUAUUAUAUACUGUGGUUCUUGACCAUCAAAGUUCUGCAUUUCUAACAGCAGGUUUAAUUGAAAAUUGUUGACGAAUAUCUUUAGUUGAGUUUAGUUUUCUUAUUGUUCAA
rnacentral:lncRNA from 1 species